rnacentral:rRNA from 1 species
GGGGAAUAUUGCACAAUGGGCGAAAGCCUGAUGCAGCGACGCCGCGUGAGGGAAGAAGGCUUUCGGGUUGUAAACCUCUUUCAGGAGGGACGAAGCUACUCGGGUUAAUAGCCCAGAGGGUGACGGUACCUGCAGAAGAAGCGCCGGCUAACUACGUGCCAGCAGCCGCGGUAAUACGUAGGGCGCAAGCGUUGUCCGGAAUUAUUGGGCGUAAAGAGCUCGUAGGCGGUUAGUCGCGUCUGCUGUGAAAACUCGAGGCUCAACCUCGGGCUUGCAGUGGGUACGGGCUGACUAGAGUGCGGUAGGGGUGACUGGAAUUCCUGGUGUAGCGGUGGAAUGCGCAGAUAUCAGGAGGAACACCGAUGGCGAAGGCAGGUCACUGGGCCGCAACUGACGCUGAGGAGCGAAAGCAUGGGGAGCGAACA